rnacentral:rRNA from 1 species
GAUGAACGCUGGCGGCGUGCUUAACACAUGCAAGUCGAACGGAAAGGCCACAGCUUGCUGUGGUACUCGAGUGGCGAACGGGUGAGUAACACGUGGGUGAUCUGCCCUGUACUUCGGGAUAAGCUUGGGAAACUGGGUCUAAUACCGGAUAGGAAUCACAUGUGGGUGUGUGGUUGGAAAGCUUUUGCGGUAUGGGAUGAGCUCGCGGCCUAUCAGCUUGUUGGUGGGGUAAUGGCCUACCAAGGCGUCGACGGGUAGCCGGCCUGAGAGGGUGUACGGCCACAUUGGGACUGAGAUACGGCCCAGACUCCUACGGGAGGCAGCAGUAGGGAAUAUUGCACAAUGGGCGCAAGCCUGAUGCAGCGACGCCGCGUGGGGGAUGACGGCCUUCGGGUUGUAAACUCCUUUCGUCAGGGACGAAGCGAAAGUGACGGUACCUGGAUAAGAAGCACCGGCUAACUACGUG